rnacentral:rRNA from 1 species
UGGGGAAUUUUGGACAAUGGGGGAAACCCUGAUCCAGCCAUCCCGCGUGUGCGGUGAAGGCCUUCGGGUUGUAAAGCACUUUUGGCAGGAAAGAAACGUCGCGGGUUAAUACCCCGCGAAACUGACGGUACCUGCAGAAUAAGCACCGGCUAACUACGUGCCAGCAGCCGCGGUAAUACGUAGGGUGCAAGCGUUAAUCGGAAUUACUGGGCGUAAAGCGUGCGCAGGCGGUUCGGAAAGAAAGAUGUGAAAUCCCAGAGCUUAACUUUGGAACUGCAUUUUUAACUACCGGGCUAGAGUGUGUCAGAGGGAGGUGGAAUUCCGCGUGUAGCAGUGAAAUGCGUAGAUAUGCGGAGGAACACCGAUGGCGAAGGCAGCCUCCUGGGAUAACACUGACGCUCAUGCACGAAAGCGUGGGGAGCAAACAGGAUUAGAUACCCUGGUAGUCCACGCCCUAAACGAUGUCAACUAGCUGUUGGGGGCCUUCGGGCCUUGGUAGCGCAGCUAACGCGUGAAGUUGACCGCCUGGGGAGUACGGUCGCAAGAUUAAAACUCAAAUGAAUUGACGGGG